CAGGAUGGGGAAGGUUAUUAAGGGAAAAGGUGAAUGGCUGGUGCCUCCAAAGCUGGGUACCCUUGUUUCCUGCUCUGUGACUAAAGAUUCUUAAUCACAUAUUCCACCCAAACCCCAGCAGCUUGCCUCAGGAAAUGGAGGAAUCAGUCCCGGGAGCCCAGGAUUGCUUAACUCAAAAGUAGCCAAGACAGGAGACUCAUAAUGUGGGGCCAGGUUGCCUUAUAAACAUCCCUGGAGCUUGCCUACCUGGGCUACUACGAACUGAUUAAAAUGUCAUCAUAUGAAUGGUGUUUGUUAUUGCUUCUCAGCCUUUUGGUUAAGAUCAAGUGUAGUAUGAAUGGUGUUUGCUGGAUUCAGGCAGUGUUCAACCCUCACUUAUCACACAGAGUGGCCCGAACACUUCAUUUUGAUCAAUGUAUAAAAUUUAUUUUUGUGACAAGUAAAAGAACACUGCAGGUCUUUUGACAUGGAAUAAAGUGAGGUACAAAUUGCUGUGGGUAAGAGACAGUUGGGGCCAAAGGAAGAUCACUGGUUUAUGGAGACUUGGGAGAAUCUGCCUCCUAAGAAUAAAAUAAAUCAGCCAGGGGCAGUCAACAGUCCUUCCUUCAUCAAGAAAUGGCACAGAAGGGCAGCCAAGAGGUUAUCCUAUGAGCAUUGUUAUGUCACAGUAGGAAUUGGAGUCGGGGGGAGGGGACGGGGUUGGGGGGAAUUACCAUUAGCAGUUGAAGUGGUAGGAAAUUUUUACAUAGGAGAGUAUGGUGAUCAUAUUUGCAUUUUAGAAAAUAAUGGAUAGCAGUUUGUUAGGGGAACAAAGGACAGAGACAGGGAGACUAUUUAAAACAUUAAUAAAAAAUACCAGUGACAGAUGAUGAGGCACCUACCUGAUGGGAAUGGAGAAGAGGAGAUGGAUUCAGAAACUACUUAGGAGGUACAGUCAUCAAGAUCUAGAUGACUAAUUGCAUGUAGGGGGUAAAAAAGUAGGAAGAAGAGAGGAUGAUGACUCCUGCAUUUCUGGCUUGGGAAAGUGGUUAGAUUGUGGGCUGGAUGUGUGCAUGAUUAUGUGUGUGUAGCUGAAAAGGCAAUUUAGCUUUGCAACUGUUGAAGUGAAUAUGGACCAUAGACAUAGAUAUCCCUAGGUAGCUGAAUAUGUAGCCUGCAAAUCAGGAGAAAAUUCUAGGUGAAGAUGGUAAUUGCGAAUCAUCAGAGUCUAUAUGAGGCAGGCAGUCCAAGGCUGAUGCCCAAAGAAGCCAUCAAGACCCGUGCUACUUCCAGCUCCUUCUGUCCUCAUAAUCAUAGAUGAUUGCUCCACAUCCAGCACCUAACACCAGUACUCAGUUAAAUUUUUUGCUGAAUAAAUCAAUGAAUGGAGAGGUAAAGAGGAACCAGAAGUUGGGGUUACAGAAGUCACUGAUGGAAGAGUUUCAAGAUAGUAGAAGUGGUCAGCCCUGUUAAGUGACAAGCCAAGGACUGAAGAAAGACUGGCAGAUUUGGCAAUCAGAUGAAGUGACCUGACCAAAGAGCAGCUUGUGUGAAGUAGUGAGGACAGGCGCUGGUCUGCGACUGGUUUAGGAGGAAAUGGAAAUGAAGAAGAAGAGAUAGGAAAGUGGAGAUUAUAUGAUGACAAGUAUCAAGAUAAAAAUGAACACAUUUGGCCUGCUACCUGAAUUUUUUAAAUCGGCUCACCAAAAAAUAUCAGGCUUAUUGAAAUAUUGGAAUAUCUGAUGAAGUUUCCUCUUAUCUUUGAGCUGUUUGGGUUUGGGUAAAAUUUCAAUGCUUAAAAUUCACGUCUACAACUAGCAGGCAGAACCUUAAAGUCCAGAACCAUUAAAGGGUUUAAUAAUGGUGAGGCAUAUGAUGAUGCUGAUGAUGAUAAUGUUUCUUUCUUUCUUUUGUGAUCUUAAUCACUGUGUGAUCUUAACUAGUUUGAAAUGAGAAUUUCAAUGGAGACAGUAGUGUAAAUUUACCAACAGAACAAUUACAGUCGUGACAAAACAAAAACUAUACAAGCAUAUUUUUGUUCAUUCUAUAAAUUUGUACUGAGUACUUUAUAUACACUAGGCAUUCUGACAGAUAUAAUUAUGUGGGUAUAAAAUUUAGUUUAUUUGAUAGUUGCUUUCCCCACCGCCUCCAGAAAUUCUUGAUUUAGUUGGUAAAGAAAAUCAGUUAAGCAAAUAAGUUCACUAUUUGUAGAAGUGUAGAUGGGUUAUGGUGGGGGCACAAAAUAAUAAAAUAAUGUAUUUAAAACUAUUUUCACAUCUGUGAAAAGCUCUAUACAUCUGUGGCAUUAAGACUAAAGAGAAUGGUAUCAAGUCAUAGCUGCUUUCUAGAAAACAUGCAUGAGACAUUUAGGACCUCUGCAUAUUACCACUGAGUUGUUUUUCUUUUAAGGGGCUACAAAGGAGUAUGUUCAGCAUGAUCUUAUUUUUAUUAAAAUUAUACUUUCUAUACAGAAAAAGACUAUAAAAAUACACACUUAAAACAUUAGCAGUGACCCACAGCUAGUAUCAUACUGAAUGGGGAAUAACUAAAAGCCUUUUCUCCAUGAUCUAGAACACAACAAAAAUGCCCAUUUUUACCACUAUUAUUCAACUUAGUACUGGAAGUUCUAGCUAGGGCAAUCAGACACGAGAAUGAAAUAAAAUGCAUCCAAAUUUGAAAGGAAGAAGUGAAA
rnacentral:lncRNA from 1 species